rnacentral:rRNA from 1 species
GUGGGGAAUAUUGGACAAUGGGCGAAAGCCUGAUCCAGCCAUGCCGCGUGUGUGAAGAAGGUCUUCGGAUUGUAAAGCACUUUAAGUUGGGAGGAAGGGCAGUAAGUUAAUACCUUGCUGUUUUGACGUUACCGACAGAAUAAGCACCGGCUAACUUCGUGCCAGCAGCCGCGGUAAUACGAAGGGUGCAAGCGUUAAUCGGAAUUACUGGGCGUAAAGCGCGCGUAGGUGGUUUUGUAAGUUGGAGGUGAAAUCCCCGGGCUCAACCUGGGAACUGCCUCCAAAACUGCAUGACUAGAGUACGGUAGAGGGUAGUGGAAUUUCCUGUGUAGCGGUGAAAUGCGUAGAUAUAGGCAGGAACACCAGUGGCGAAGGCGACUACCUGGACUGAUACUGACACUGAGGUGCGAAAGCGUGGGGAGCAAACAGGAUUAGAAACCCCUGUAGUCC